rnacentral:rRNA from 1 species
GAUCCUGGCUCAGGAUGAACGCUAGCUACAGGCUUAACACAUGCAAGUCGAGGGGCAGCAUGGUCUUAGCUUGCUAAGGCCGAUGGCGACCGGCGCACGGGUGAGUAACACGUAUCCAACCUGCCGUCUGCUCUUGGACAGCCUUCUGAAAGGAAGAUUAAUACAAGAUGGCAUCAUGAGUUCACAUGUUCACAUGAUUAAAGGUAUUCUGGUAGACGAUGGGG